ACGAGACUGAAUGCAGGGCAGGUGUGAAGGGAAAAGCAGGCUGAAGAGGAGUACAUGAAUGCAAGAAGGACACAGAGAGCAAAGAGAAACAAACAUUCUCAUUCUUAACCAGUCCAACAAACAGGGAAAAAGUCUGAGGGCAUCUGGUGGACUGCUGGAUAAUGGCAACCAUGGAACAUAGAGCCAGACUGGGACAGAACCAUGACAAACUGACCGUUUUGUUACAUCACCAUUUAACCCUUGAUUUGUGACCCAAAAUGUUUAUGUUUGGAAGGAGCCAGUACAAUUUAGUGUUAUCAGUGUCCCUGUGCAGAAAGUCAUAUUUUUGUACCACAAAAUGCUUUUGUGCUGACUUUAAUAUCACAAACCCAUAACACUGAGUCCAAAGAUGAAUGUUAUUUGCCCUGAAGUAGGUUUAAAACAUAUCAGACUGCUCUCUGUCAAUCAAAUAUCUUUGUGCUUUGUGCUCAAAGUUAUUAAAAACCUGUCAAUGUCAUUGGCCUAGAAAUUGAUCAAAUUUUGUUCUGAAACACUGAUAAUAUAGUGGGGAUGGAAGUUAAUUAAACUUUGUACUCAUGUUU